rnacentral:rRNA from 1 species
AUUUGAAAUCUGGCGCAAGCCCGAGUUGUAAUUUGUAGAGGAUGCUUCUGGGUAGCGGCCGGUCUAAGUUCCUUGGAACAGGACGUCAUAGAGGGUGAGAAUCCCGUAUGUGACUGGCUUGCACCCUCCACGUAGCUCCUUCGACGAGUCGAGUUGUUUGGGAAUGCAGCUCUAAAUGGGAGGUAAAUUUCUUCUAAAGCUAAAUACCGGCCAGAGACCGAUAGCGCACAAGUAGAGUGAUCGAAAGAUGAAAAGCACUUUGGAAAGAGAGUUAAAAAGCACGUGAAAUUGUUGAAAGGGAAGCGCCCGCAACCAGACUUUGCGGCAGUGUUCGGCCGGUCUUCUGACCGGUUUACUCGCUGUCGUGAGGCCAUCAUCGUCUGGGACCGCUGGAUAAGACCUUAGGAAUGUGGCUCCCCUCGGGGAGUGUUAUAGCCUCUGGUGAUGCAGCGCGUCUCGGGCGAGGUCCGCGCUUCGGCAAGGAUGAUGGCGUAAUGGUUGUCGGCGGCCCGUCUUGAAACACGGACCAAGGAGUCUAACAUCUAUGCGAGUGUUCGGGUGUCAAACCCCUACGCGUAAUGAAAGUGAACGGAGGUGGGAACUUUUUGUGCACCAUCGACCGAUCCUGAUGUCCUCGGAUGGAUUUGAGUAAGAGCAUAGCUGUUGGGACCCGAAAGAUGGUGAACUAUGCCUGAAUAGGGUGAAGCCAGAGGAAACUCUGGUGGAGGCUCGCAGCGGUUCUGACGUGCAAAUCGAUCGUCAAAUUUGGGUAUAGGGGGCGAAAGACUAAUCGAACCAUCUAGUAGCUGGUUCCUGCCGAAGUUUCCCUCAGGAUAGCAGUAACGUUUUCAGUUUUAUGAGG